GGAGGGGUGGCCGAGCGGUUUAAGGCACCGGUCUUGAAAUUCGGUUAUAGCCGUAUCCACUUGUAUCCCUCCA
rnacentral:tRNA from 1 species